GGAGAGUUGACCGAGUGGCCGAAGGUGCUCGCCUGCUAAGUGAGUGUGGGCCAAAAGCUCACCGAGGGUUCGAAUCCCUCACUCUCCGCCA
rnacentral:tRNA from 3 species